GGUCAAGUGAAGAAGCGCAUACGGUGGAUGCCUUGGCAGUCAGAGGCGAUGAAAGACGUGGUAGCCUGCGAAAAGCUUCGGGGAGUCGGCAAACAGACUUUGAUCCGGAGAUCUCUGAAUGGGGGAACCCACCUAGGAUAACCUAGGUAUCUUGUACUGAAUCCAUAGGUGCAAGAGGCGAACCAGGGGAACUGAAACAUCUAAGUACCCUGAGGAAAAGAAAUCAACCGAGAUUCCCUUAGUAGUGGCGAGCGAACGGGGAUUAGCCCUUAAGCUUCAUUGAUUUUAGCGGAACGCUCUGGAAAGUGCGGCCAUAGUGGGUGAUAGCCCCGUACGCGAAAGGAUCUUUGAAGUGAAAUCGAGUAGGACGGAGCACGAGAAACUUUGUCUGAACAUGGGGGGACCAUCCUCCAAGGCUAAAUACUACUGACUGACCGAUAGUGAACCAGUACCGUGAGGGAAAGGCGAAAAGAACCCCGGAGAGGGGAGUGAAAUAGAACCUGAAACCGUAUGCGUACAAGCAGUGGGAGCCUACUUGUUAGGUGACUGCGUACCUUUUGUAUAAUGGGUCAGCGACUUAUAUUCAGUGGCAAGCUUAACCGUAUAGGGUAGGCGUAGCGAAAGCGAGUCUUAAUAGGGCGUUUAGUCGCUGGGUAUAGACCCGAAACCGGGCGAUCUAUCCAUGAGCAGGUUGAAGGUUAGGUAACACUGACUGGAGGACCGAACCCACUCCCGUUGAAAAGGUAGGGGAUGACUUGUGGAUCGGAGUGAAAGGCUAAUCAAGCUCGGAGAUAGCUGGUUCUCCUCGAAAGCUAUUUAGGUAGCGCCUCAUGUAUCACUCUGGGGGGUAGAGCACUGUUUCGGCUAGGGGGUCAUCCCGACUUACCAAACCGAUGCAAACUCCGAAUACCCAGAAGUGCCGAGCAUGGGAGACACACGGCGGGUGCUAACGUCCGUCGUGAAAAGGGAAACAACCCAGACCGCCAGCUAAGGUCCCAAAGUUGUGGUUAAGUGGUAAACGAUGUGGGAAGGCUUAGACAGCUAGGAGGUUGGCUUAGAAGCAGCCACCCUUUAAAGAAAGCGUAAUAGCUCACUAGUCGAGUCGGCCUGCGCGGAAGAUGUAACGGGGCUCAAACCACACACCGAAGCUGCGGGUGUCACGUAAGUGACGCGGUAGAGGAGCGUUCUGUAAGCCUGUGAAGGUGAGUUGAGAAGCUUGCUGGAGGUAUCAGAAGUGCGAAUGCUGACAUGAGUAACGACAAUGGGUGUGAAAAACACCCACGCCGAAAGACCAAGGGUUCCUGCGCAACGUUAAUCGACGCAGGGUUAGUCGGUUCCUAAGGCGAGGCUGAAAAGCGUAGUCGAUGGGAAACAGGUUAAUAUUCCUGUACUUCUGGUUACUGCGAUGGAGGGACGGAGAAGGCUAGGCCAGCUUGGCGUUGGUUGUCCAAGUUUAAGGUGGUAGGCUGAAAUCUUAGGUAAAUCCGGGGUUUCAAGGCCGAGAGCUGAUGACGAGUCGUCUUUUAGAUGACGAAGUGGUUGAUGCCAUGCUUCCAAGAAAAGCUUCUAAGCUUCAGGUAACCAGGAACCGUACCCCAAACCGACACAGGUGGUCGGGUAGAGAAUACCAAGGCGCUUGAGAGAACUCGGGUGAAGGAACUAGGCAAAAUGGCACCGUAACUUCGGGAGAAGGUGCGCCGGCUAGGGUGAAGGAUUUACUCCGUAAGCUCUGGCUGGUCGAAGAUACCAGGCCGCUGCGACUGUUUAUUAAAAACACAGCACUCUGCAAACACGAAAGUGGACGUAUAGGGUGUGACGCCUGCCCGGUGCCGGAAGGUUAAUUGAUGGGGUUAGCGCAAGCGAAGCUCUUGAUCGAAGCCCCGGUAAACGGCGGCCGUAACUAUAACGGUCCUAAGGUAGCGAAAUUCCUUGUCGGGUAAGUUCCGACCUGCACGAAUGGCGUAACGAUGGCGGCGCUGUCUCCACCCGAGACUCAGUGAAAUUGAAAUCGCUGUGAAGAUGCAGUGUAUCCGCGGCUAGACGGAAAGACCCCGUGAACCUUUACUGUAGCUUUGCACUGGACUUUGAGCCUGCUUGUGUAGGAUAGGUGGGAGGCUUUGAAGCGUGGACGCCAGUUCGCGUGGAGCCAUCCUUGAAAUACCACCCUGGCAUGCUUGAGGUUCUAACUCUGGUCCGUGAUCCGGAUCGAGGACAGUGUAUGUGGGCAGUUGANUGGGGCGUCUCUCUAAAGUAACGGAGGAGUACGAAGGUGCGCUCAGACCGGUCGGAAAUCGGUCGCAGAGUAUAAAGGCAAAAGCGCGCUUGACUGCGAGACAGACACGUCGAGCAGGUACGAAAGUAGGUCUUAGUGAUCCGGUGGUUCUGUAUGGAAGGGCCAUCGCUCAACGGAUAAAAGGUACUCCGGGGAUAACAGGCUGAUACCGCCCAAGAGUUCAUAUCGACGGCGGUGUUUGGCACCUCGAUGUCGGCUCAUCACAUCCUGGGGCUGAAGCCGGUCCCAAGGGUAUGGCUGUUCGCCAUUUAAAGUGGUACGCGAGCUGGGUUUAGAACGUCGUGAGACAGUUCGGUCCCUAUCUGCCGUGGACGUUUGAGAUUUGAGAGGGGCUGCUCCUAGUACGAGAGGACCGGAGUGGACGAACCUCUGGUGUUCCGGUUGUCACGCCAGUGGCAUUGCCGGGUAGCUAUGUUCGGAAAAGAUAACCGCUGAAAGCAUCUAAGCGGGAAACUUGCCUCAAGAUGAGAUCUCACUGGGAACUUGAUUCCCCUGAAGGGCCGUCGAAGACUACGACGUUGAUAGGCUGGGUGUGUAAGCGUUGUGAGGCGUUGAGCUAACCAGUACUAAUUGCCCGUGAGGCUUGACCAU
rnacentral:rRNA from 1 species